CACCUUGAUCACCACAUUUCAUUCUCACUCUGUGUGAGAAGGCAAAGCGAAAUGGCUCCGAAGAAGAAGCAGCAGAGCAAUAGCAAUCAGCCGAAUUCGAAUUCUUCAUCGAGAGCCAAACCACAAGCUUCAUCGUCUUCUUCGUCCUCCGGUCCGAGGCUCCAGAUUUCGGCCGAGAAUGAGAGCCGGCUUCGCCGCCUCUUGCUCAACAACUCGGCCCGGUCCGCUCCGGCGCCGGUUGACGAUACUCUCUCCAGGGCUCAGAAGGCCAAGAAGCUCAAGGCCGUCUACGAGAAGCUCUCCUGUGAAGGGUUCACCAAUGAUCAGAUUGAACUCGUUCUCUCCGCACUCAAGGAGGGUGCCACAUUUGAGGCUGCUCUUGAUUGGUUAUGCUUGAAUUUGCCGGGUAAUGAGCUUCCGUUGAAGUUUGCUAGUGGGAAUUCUCUGCACACACGUGGAGGUUCUGUUGGUGUCAUAUUAAAUUCACGGGAAGAUUGGACGCCUUCGGUGGACCUGUCAACUCAGAUUAAGGAGGAAGCCCCGCAAUUUUCUGUGAAGAUCAAGGGGAGGUGGGAUGAUGAUACUCUGGACUUACACCAACCUUCUCAAGCAGAUUGGAUCAGGCAAUAUAUGGAACAACAAGAAGAGGAUGAAUCUAAAACUUGGGAAGAUGAUGCGGUUGACAAGGGUUCCCUUGAGGAGGUCUCUGGUCCUAGGUCUUAUGAUGUUAUUGCAAAAGAGUACCAUGCUACACGGUUGGAAGCAAUAAAAGCCAAGGAAAAAAGGGAUAAGAAAAGCCAGGAGCAGGCAGGCAAUAUAAUCCGCAAACUCAAGCAAGAACUGUCUGCUCUAGGAUUAUCAGAUAACAUUUUGGCAUCGGAAUUUGAAAAUGAACAAGAUUCUGGUUCUGCAUCUGCAAACAUGAUUUCUAGUUCUACUGCUUUUGAGCACUCUGAGGUAAAACAAUUAUGCAAUGUUGAAGGUGGUUUGGCCUUUGUUGUGGAAGCAGAUGAAUCAACAGUUGAUGGAAAUGAUAUGGAUUGCUGUAGCUCGAAGGAGUUUCCAAUCAAAUCUUCUCCUAGUUCACUUAUUCAGGAAAAACAUGCUGUAAAGGAAGAGUCAGAAGAUGUAGAGCUUGGUGGUUUCUUUUCAGAAGAUGCCCCAUCUAAUGAUGGUUUACCUCCUGAAGUUUUGAAACUACAGAAGCAAGAAAAUAUGAGAAAAUUAUAUAAUGAGAAGAGUUUGGAAAAAUUAGAUGGCAUCUGGAAGAAGGGGGACCCACAAAAAAUUCCCAAGGCUGUUCUUCAUCAAUUAUGUCAAAGGUCAGGGUGGGAAGCACCAAAAUUUAAUAAAGUGAUGGGCCAAAGAAGUAGUUUCUCUUAUGCUGUCAGUGUCUUGCGGAGAUCCAGUGGGAGGGGUAAGAGCAGAAAAUCUGGGGGGCUAAUCACCCUUCAGCUUCCAGAUCAGGAUGAAACUUUUGAAUCUGCUGAGGAUGCACAGAAUAGAGUGGCAGCAUUUGCUCUUUGUCAUCUGUUUCCUGAUCUCCCGGUUCACUUAGUAGUUAUGGAGCCCUAUGCAUCACUUGUUAUGCAGUGGAAGGAAGGGGAAUCAUCGGCCAACAUGGAAGAAAAUGAGGAUGAUCGGAGGGCUGGUUUUGUGGAUUCAUUAUUGAGUGCUGACCAUUCUAGUUUAGCUGCUUCUGAUGAAGUUAUGAAUUGUUCUCUACCAGAAAAAUUCCAGAAGCUUAAUGUUCAAGGGAAUAAAAAUUCAACUCUUGCUGGUUUUGACUCAUUAGUUGACAGCCAUAUUGCAGGAGUAGAACAAAGGAAACAAGUGGAAAGUGCAUAUCUGAAUCAGGAACACGAGAAUAAAAUGAAUAUGCAGAGAUACAAGGACAUGUUGAAAAUUAGAGCUGCACUUCCUAUAUCUGCGUUGAAGGGUGAUAUAUUGCAACUGCUGAAGGAGAAUAAUGUUCUUGUAGUUUGUGGGGAAACAGGCUCUGGGAAGACAACUCAGGUUCCGCAAUUUAUUUUGGAUGAUAUGAUUGAAUCCGGAUGUGGUGGAUGGUGUAACAUCAUAUGCACACAACCAAGGAGAAUAGCGGCUAUUUCUGUGGCUGAAAGAGUUGCUGAUGAGCGCUGUGAACCAUCACCAGGUUCAGAUGGUUCUUUGGUUGGUUAUCAAGUCCGUCUUGACAGCGCAAGGAAUGAAAAAACAAAACUCCUCUUUUGUACUACAGGCAUUCUUCUGAGAAAAUUUGCGGGGGACAAAAACUUGACUGGUGUCACUCAUGUCAUAGUUGAUGAAGUUCAUGAACGGUCUCUGUUGGGUGAUUUUCUACUUAUUGUUUUGAAGAAUCUGAUAGAGAAGCAAUCUGCUCAUGGCACACCAAAACUGAAAGUCAUUCUUAUGUCUGCAACUGUAGAUUCCAAUUUGUUUUCAAGAUACUUUGGUGACUGCCCUGUAAUUACUGCAGAAGGCAGAACCCAUCCUGUGACAACUUACUUUCUCGAGGAUAUAUAUGAAAGUAUAAAUUAUCACCUUCCUUCAGAUUCUCUGGCCUCUAUAAGAAACGAAACAUCCACCAAGGAGAGGUUCCAGAGUGGUCCUGUAAGUAACCGCAGGGGUCAGAAGAAUCUUGUCUCAUCUGCCUGGGGUGAUGAGUCUCUACUUUCAGAAGACAGUAUUAAUCCAUAUUAUUUUCCAAGCAAUUAUCAAUCAUACAGUGAACAAACUCGACAAAAUUUGAAAGGAUUGAAUGAAGAUGUCAUUGAUUAUGAUCUUCUUGAGGACUUGGUCUGUCAUGUUGAUGAAACUUGUGGGGAGGGUGCCAUACUUGUAUUCUUACCUGGGGUGUCUGAAAUUUACAUGUUACUUGAAAAGCUAACUGCUUCUUACCGAUUUGGUGGACCAUCUUCUGAUUGGAUUCUUCCUUUACAUUCGUCCAUUGCAUCAAUUGAUCAGAAAAAGGCGUUUUUACGUCCUCCUGAAAACUUACGCAAGGUCAUUAUAGCCACAAACAUUGCAGAAACCAGUAUAACGAUAGACGAUGUGGUAUAUGUCAUCGACUGUGGAAAGCAUAAGGAGAAUCGUUAUAAUCCUCAGAAGAAAUUGUCUAGCAUGGUUGAAGAUUGGAUAUCUCAAGCAAAUGCAAGGCAAAGGCGAGGAAGAGCUGGACGUGUAAAACCUGGAAUUUGCUUUUGCUUGUACACAUGUUAUAGAUUUGAGAAAUGCAUGCGACCUUUUCAGGUUCCUGAGAUGCUUCGGAUGCCAUUAGUGGAAUUGUGUUUACAAAUUAAGUUACUUUCUCUGGGUUAUGUAAAACCUUUUUUAUCCAUGGCUUUAGAACCUCCUAGGGAGGAGGCUAUAACCUCAGCACUUUCAUUAUUAUAUGAGGUUGGGGCACUUGAAGGUAAUGAAGAGUUGACACCUCUUGGGCAUCAUUUGGCGAAACUUCCUGUUGAUGUAUUGAUUGGAAAGAUGAUGCUGUAUGGUGCAAUAUUUGGCUGCUUAUCACCCAUUCUCUCCAUUUCAGCAUUUUUGAGCUAUAAAUCUCCAUUUGUGUAUCCAAAAGAUGAGAGGCAAAAUGUUGAAAGAGCAAAAUUAGCACUUUUGAAAGAUAAGAUUGACGGUCCUAGUGAUUCAGAUGAUGGUGACAAGCAAUCUGAUCACCUGUUAAUGAUGACUGCAUACAGGAAAUGGGAGAAGAUUCUCCGUGAGAAAGGAGUUAAAGCUGCCCAACAUUUUUGCAAUUCAUAUUUUUUAAGCAGUUCAGUGAUGCACAUGAUAAGGGACAUGAGAAUACAGUUUGGUUCAUUGCUAGCUGACAUUGGCCUCAUCAACCUUGCAAAAAAGUAUCAGAUCCAUGGGAAAAGGAAAGAAGAUAUCGACCGUUGGUUUUCUGAUGCAUCACAACCGUUCAAUAAGUAUUCGUGUCAUUCAUCAGUUGUAAAGGCUAUACUAUGUGCAGGUUUAUACCCUAAUGUGGCAGCCACUGAACAAGGCAUUACUGGUGUUACUCUUGGGAGCCUUAAACAGUCUGUUGGUCCUGCAACACUGGGCCGUCCUGUAUGGUACGAUGGAAGAAGAGAAGUUCACAUACACCCUUCUUCUAUCAACGGUAGUUUGAAAGCAUUUCAGUACCCCUUCCUUGUUUUCCUUGAAAAGGUUGAAACCAACAAAAUUUUUCUUCGAGAUACCUCUGUCAUCUCUCCUUACUCUAUUUUGCUGUUUGGUGGCUCCAUUAACAUUCAACAUCAGACUGGACUGGUCACAAUAGAUGGAUGGUUAAAACUGACAGCAGCAGCCCAAAUUGCUGUCCUGUUCAAGGAACUGCGAUUAACUCUUCAUUCAAUUUUGAAGGAGCUAAUCAGAAAGCCAGAGAAUGCAUCUAUUGUUGAUAACGAGGUUGUCAGGUCUAUGAUCCAAUUGUUGUUAGAAGAAGACAAACCACUAAAGUAAUUUGGAGCAUCAAGUUUCCUUUCUGAGACUAUCAACAGAACAGUACACUAGUAAACACUGGAAGCACCUGUCUAGGAUGACCUUAUGUUGCCAUAUGAGGAAUUGUUAUCAAAAACAAAACAAAACAAAAGGAACGUUAUGUGUGACAUGCUACUUCGUUAUGGUGGAGCAUGAAAUUAGUGAAUCUCAUGUGUUAAGAUGGCAAUAUUUAUAUAUAUAAGGAACGUUAUGUGUGACAUGCUACUUCAUUAUGGUGGAGCAUGAAAUUAGUGAAUCUCAUGUGUUAAGAUGGCAAUAUUUAUAUU